GGCCGGAUAGCUUAGUGGUCAAAGCUUUUCCGAUUAAUGGAAGCGACCCAGUUUCGACUCCUGGUCCAGCCG
rnacentral:tRNA from 1 species